rnacentral:rRNA from 1 species
AUUGAACGCUGGCGGCAGGCCUAACACAUGCAAGUCGAGCGAGCGGGGGACGGGGGUGCAUUAUAUGGGGACUCCUCCAUAGAGGGGGAUAACCACUGGCAACGGUGGCUCAUACCGCAUACCGUCCGCACACCCAUAUGGGAGUAGCUAGUAGGUAAGGUAACGGCUUACCUAGGCGACGAUCCCUAGCUGGUCUGAGAGGAUGAUCAGCCACACUGGGACUGAGACACGGCCCAGACUCCGACGGAGGCAGCAGUGGGGAAUAUUGCACAAUGGGCGCAAGCCUGCUGCAGCCAUGCCGCGUGUAUGAAGAAGGCCUUAGGGUUGUAAAGUACUUUCAGUCGGGAGGCGUUACCGACAGAAGAAGCACCGGCUAACUCCGUGCCAGCAGCCGCGGUAAUUC